GAGUUUGAUUAUGGCUCAGGACGAACGCUGGCGGCGUGCUUAACACAUGCAAGUCGAACGGAGCGAAUGAAAGCUUGCUUUUAUAAGCUUAGUGGCAAACGGGUGAGUAACACGUAGACAACCUGCCGACAGGAUGGGGACAACAUUCCGAAAGGAAUGCUAAUACCGAAUGAAGUGCAGGGGAGGCAUCUCCCCUGCAUGAAAGAUGGCCUCUUUUUAUGCUAUCACCUGUUGAUGGGUCUGCGUCUGAUUAGCUGGUAGGUGAGGUAACGGCUCACCUAGGCGACGAUCAGUAGCCGGUCUGAGAGGAUGAACGGCCACAUUGGGACUGAGACACGGCCCAGACUCCUACGGGAGGCAGCAGUGGGGAAUCUUCCGCAAUGGGCGCAAGCCUGACGGAGCAACGCCGCGUGAGUGAAGAAGGUCUUCGGAUCGUAAAGCUCUGUUGAUGGGGACGAACGUGCCUAAUGCGAAUAGUUUUAGGCAAUGACG
rnacentral:rRNA from 1 species